UACGUAGGGGCCGCGCGUUGUCCGGAGUUAUUGGGCGUAAAGCGCGCGCAGGCGGCCUCGCGCGCCCGACGUGAAAGCCCCCGGCUUAACCGGGGAGGGUCGUUGGGGACGGCGGGGCUUGAGGGCGGGAGAGGUCGGUGGAAUUCCCGGUGUAGUGGUGAAAUGCGUAGAGAUCGGGAGGAACACCUGUGGCGAAGGCGGCCGACUGGGCCGACCCUGACGCUGAGGCGCGAAGGCGUGGGGAGCGAACGGG
rnacentral:rRNA from 1 species